rnacentral:lncRNA from 1 species
ACGGAGUACUACAAGAAAACUCAGGAGAAAAAAAAAGAACAGAGUUCAAGUACCACUGACUGGCAGAAGGAGGUGUACGAGAAGAAGCGGGUGAACCUCCAAGGCACAAAGAAGAAGCGGUGCGCAGCAACAAUGAAUUUGAAGUGGAUUGAGUUGUACCCAGAUUUCCAGGUGGAUGUGCCCCAGCCAUGC